rnacentral:rRNA from 1 species
GACGAACGCUGGCGGCGUGCCUAAUACAUGCAAGUAGAACGCUGAAGGAGGAGCUUGCUUCUCUGGAUGAGUUGCGAACGGGUGAGUAACGCGUAGGUAACCUGCCUGGUAGCGGGGGAUAACUAUUGGAAACGAUAGCUAAUACCGCAUAAGAGUAGAUGUUGCAUGACAUUUGCUUAAAAGGUGCAAUUGCAUCACUACCAGAUGGACCUGCGUUGUAUUAGCUAGUUGGUGGGGUAACGGCUCACCAAGGCGACGAUACAUAGCCGACCUGAGAGGGUGAUCGGCCACACUGGGACUGAGACACGGCCCAGACUCCUACGGGAGGCAGCAGUAGGGAAUCUUCGGCAAUGGACGGAAGUCUGACCGAGCAACGCCGCGUGAGUGAAGAAGGUUUUCGGAUCGUAAGCUCUGUUGUAAGAGAAGAACGAGUGUGAGAGUGGAAAGUUCACACUGUGACGGUAUCUUACCAGAAAGGGACGGCUAACUACGUGCCAGCAGCCGCGGUAAUACGUAGGUGGCAAGCGUUAUCCGGAUUUAUUGGGCGUAAAAGAGAGUGCAGGGCGGGUUUUCUAAGUCUGAUGUGAAAGCCUUCGGCUUAACCGGAGAAGUGCAUCGGAAACUGGAUAACUUGAGUGCAGAAGAGGGUAGUGGAACUCCAUGUGUAGCGGUGGAUGCGAAAUAUAUGGAAGAACACCCCUGGCGAAGGCGGCUACCUGGUCUGCAACUGAGCUCAAACUCGGAAGCAGGGGUGCAAACAGG